rnacentral:rRNA from 1 species
AAAAACAUAACCUUUAGCCAAACAAAUAUUAAAGGCAACGCCUGCCCAGUGAACAAUUAAACGGCCGCGGUACCCUAACCGUGCAAAGGUAGCAUAAUCAUUUGUCUACUAAUUAUAGACCUGUAUGAAAGGCAAAAUGAGGGUCCAACUGUCUCUUAUAAUAAAUCAAUUAAACUGAUCUCCUAGUAAAAAAGCUAGAAUAAUACCAUAAGACCAGAAGACCCUGUGAAGCUUAAAUUAAACUACUAAAUCACAUAGUAAUUACUUUCGGUUGGGGCGACCUCGGAAAAAAACAAAACUUCCAAGACCCAGUAAAACUGACAAUUGAACCAAGUUACUCCAGGGAUAACAGCGCAAUCUUCUUCAAGAGCCCAUAUCAAAAAGAAGGUUUACGACCUCGAUGUUGGAUCAGGACAUCCUAAUGGUGCAGCCGCUAUUAAGGGUUCGUUUGUUCAACGAUUAACAGUCCUACGUGAUCUGA